rnacentral:tRNA from 1 species
GAAUAAUUAGUUCAAUUGGUAGAGCAUUUCAUUUACACUGAAAAAGUUAUCAGUUCAAAUCUGAUAUUAUUCA